CUGCGGGCCACGCCUCCCCAACGAGGUGCUAUCAUUCUGGAAGGAAUGAACCG
rfam:Alphaproteobacteria bacterium 64-11 SCNpilot_cont_1000_p_scaffold_5996, whole genome shotgun sequence.